GAAGAAUCUGAAUGGUCAAGAGGGAGUCAUCCUCUCUGUGGGAUGAGCAUGGGGGAGGAAUAAUAAACAUUUCUGGAGUACUCAUACUUGCCAGCCGUGCAGAUCGCUUUAUUUGAUCUUAUAACAACUUUGUGAGUAGCUGUAAGUAUUUUUGCCAUUUAAUACAUGAGGGAGCCGAGGAAGACAGAGGUUAAAUUCUGUGCCCAAGGUCACAGCUAGUGAGGAAGAGCAAAGCUUUCCACCCAAGUGGACUUCAGAGCCUGCCGGUUAGAGAGACCUGGGUCCAUCACCUCCUGGCAGUGUGAUCUUAGACCGUGUGAAGGACUGGCCAUCUCGCACCUGGCCUGCAGCAAUCCUCUCUCUGAAUCCGCAAAGUCCCUCUUACGCCUCCCGUUUAUUCUCCAAGCCAGAUGGUGGCAAAGUGCCCACCCAGCACGCUGUCUCUGCUCACACUCGUGCAAGAUCUCAUGCUGCCCCAAGCGGUCACUGGAACCCUGUACCUGCGCACAGGGCUCUAACCUGCAGGUCCCUGCCCACCUGGGAGCCUCAGACAUGCUGUGUCCUUUUGGUUCUGACAGAUGUUCUCCUCGACCCGACUCGAGCCAAGCUCCUCUGAGCCUUCCUCUCAACUAAGCCUCAGCCUUGGCCUAUAAAGAAUGCAGAGUCUCAGCACAAAGGAUUUCAUCCACUUAUUCUACCCAAAUUAAAGGACCUAAACAAACACGAAUGUAGUUUCUAACGGCUCAAGGUCACAUCCCCAGGAUGACCCCAGCCCCCCUCAAAGUGCCUGCCUGAGAAAGCUCAAGGCCGCCUAAAGGAUUUACUGUUUGUUCCAGCCAACACCUGAGGACAGGCCCCUGACCACCCUUUCUUGGAGCACAUACUAAAAAGGGCUUCAAAUUGUGAAUCCUUCUCCUGUCCUUUUGAGAUUAUACAUGUAUCUCCUACAACUCAGAGUGUCUUUCUCAAGGAUCUAAACUCCAUUCCUUUGAAAUGAAACCAUUAGGAAGGACAGGCCCCUUGCCUCCCAGUCUCUGUGAGAGGAUUGAAUCCUUACCUCCAUCACUGCCAGAUACAGACACAGAGGCCUAACCACACUCAUAGUGACCAACGCUCGCUAGUUUUUCACAUCCCUGACUCUGCUCGAGGCCCCGCUGGUCUCCUCCCAGCUCCCUGAUUCUCUCUUUAAAACACCCGGUCAUCUCUGUACAAAUUGAAGUUCAGUUCAGUUCAUGCCGGACCUGCUUCCCUAUUGCAGGAGCAUAACGCUGAUUAAAAUAUGUUCUUUCCACUUUAA